rnacentral:misc_RNA from 1 species
AAGUCGUAACAAGGUUUCCGUAGGUGAACCUGCGGAAGGAUCAUUAAAAUACGAUGUUAUAAUCGUUUCUCACACACUUCUGGGUGUUUUGUUGUUGUUAUUAUAUGUAUGUAUGGGGUCAAACCCAGUGCAUAUAUAUAAUACACAAUAACUAAUGCCUAUGUAGAACUUGUUUUCUUUUUUUUCUUAUUAUUAUCAACACCUAAACGAAAAUAAUAUAAGAAAUAAAAAAAUACAUAAAAGCUUCUAACUAAAUACAACUCUUAGCAACGGAUAUCUUGGUUCUC